GUGUUGUAUGAAAAGACAGAAAGUUAGCACUCUCCUUGAUGAAGGCAAAGGAUGGAAGAGGUCCUAGUGGCCUUUAUAGCACAUAUACGGUUAAGGCAUUGCCAUAUACCCUGUGGCAUUUAUAUUUCUGU
ensembl:snRNA